rnacentral:rRNA from 1 species
CCUACGGGAGGCAGCAGUGAGGAAUAUUGGACAAUGGGCGCAAGCCUGAUCCAGCCAUGCCGCGUGCAGGAAGACGGUCCUAUGGAUUGUAAACUGCUUUUAUACAGGAAGAAACACCUCUACGUGUAGAGACUUGACGGUACUGUAUGAAUAAGCAUCGGCUAACUCCGUGCCAGCAGCCGCGGUAAU